rnacentral:tRNA from 1 species
AGACCAUUAGUAUAACGGAUAAAAUACCUUGCUACGAACAAGGAGAUAUAGGUUCGACUCCUAUAUGGUCUA